rnacentral:tRNA from 1 species
GCCGGGAUGGUGGAACUGGUAGACACACUAUCUUGAGGGGGUAGCGAGCGCAAGCUCAUGCGGGUUCAAGUCCCGCUCCCGGCA